rnacentral:lncRNA from 1 species
CUGAGGGGUGGAACUUGCUUACCCUUUGUUAAGAAAGGUUUACAUUUGUAAGGGAAAUCUCCACCUGUAAAGGUGCCUCCCUCUCUGUACCAGGAAGAAGAAAGGGGAUGACCUUAUCUCUAGAAACUCUUAAUCAAUGCCAAAGGCAAGGACUUAAAUCUGCCAUGGCGUGCCAAGCAGUGCCAUGUCCCUACCUGGCAUCUGGACCGGCGACCCCUGGGCCACCAAGAAGCGGAACGUGAGGACCUAACCGCUGCGCCACCGGGCCGGCACCCCAUCUGAUUCUUAUCCAAAGAUAUAGAACCACCCGAUGACCAGAACCCCCCCAACCACUGAUGCUAUUUUAAUGAUUUUUUUGCAUGAUCUUUCCUUGUCUUGUAAAGAGAUAACUCACAUACCUAUGCCUUAUAAAUUUAGCCCUACCCUCCACCCAUGUUUGCAGCUCUUCACUGCCCAUGGGUCCUGAGCCCAUGCUACUCCAUGCUAUUCUCUGAAUAAAGGAGCCCUACUACCAG